rnacentral:rRNA from 1 species
UACGUAGGGUGUAAGCGUUAAUCGGAAUUACUGGGCGUAAAGCGUGCGCAGGCGGUUUUGUAAGUCAGAUGUGAAAUCCCCGGGCUUAACCUGGGAACUGCGUUUGAAACUACAAGGCUAGAGUGUGGCAGAGGGGGGCGGAAUUCCACGUGUAGCAGUGAAAUGCGUAGAGAUGUGGAGGAACACCGAUGGCGAAGGCAGCCCCCUGGGUUAACACUGACGCUCAGGCACGAAAGCGUGGGGAGCAAACAGG